CGUAUACGUAGGCCCCCUCAAGUCUAAGAACAAAAAGCAGAAUAAACAAAUACGCCAGCAGAUCGGCCCACGGGCUAACCAAAAACCAAGUCCGUCUAAUGCUCGCUCUUCUCUGCGGAUUUCUUUAAAAAAUAAAACAACAACAAACACUUCAACGCCAAAACCAUUUUACAACUUUACUCCUUCAACAACAACAAGAACAACAACAAGCACACUGUCACACAAGAAUCUCCAGCGGCAAUCUGUCGGAAUAUUUGCUGAACUAAGCCCAGCUUUUCGGACGUAAAGGCCAGCAGCGCGGACCGCGAGUGCAUUGCCGCAAUCCUCCAGCGGAGGACAACACACACAUCCCAUCCGACAUCUAGCAGGAGCCUCGCCCCUAGAGCGCUAGCCCAAAGAUGGCGGCCUUCAUAGCCAAGCAAAUGGUUGGAAACCAAUUAAGUGCCGUUAAAGAUGCCGCAGGCGGU